AGCGUAGGCGGACAUUUAAGUCAGAGGUGAAAUCCCGGAGCUUAACUUCGGAACUGCCUUUGAUACUGGUUGUCCUGAGUGUGAGAGAGGUAUGUGGAACUCCGAGUGUAGAGGUGAAAUUCGUAGAUAUUCGGAAGAACACCAGUGGCGAAGGCGACAUACUGGCUCAUUACUGACGCUGAGGCUCGAAAGCGUGGGGAGCAAACA
rnacentral:rRNA from 1 species